UCCGAGUUGUCCCCGGCAGUCCUUUUAGAGUCCCCGGCAUUACCCGCUGGCAACUAAAAGCAGGGGUUGCGCUCGUUGCGGCACUUAAGCCAACACCUCACGGCACGAGCUGACGACAGCCAUGCAGCACCUGUGGCGCACCCUCGAAGGUCACACGUUUCCGUGCGCUUGCAGCGCCAUGUCAAGCCCAGGUAAGGUUCUUCGCGUUGCAUCGAAUUAAAGAACAUGCUCCGCUGCUUGUGCGGGCCCCCGUCAAUUCUUUUGAGUUUUAGCCUUGCGGCCGUACUCCCCAGGCGGAACACUUAAUGCGUUAGCUACGGCACAGAGGGAGUCGACACCCCCCACACCUAGUGUCCAACGUUUACGGCUAGGACUAC
rnacentral:misc_RNA from 1 species